GUCGAACGAAGCAUAUAAAAGGAAUUUCUUCGGAGAGGAAUUUUAUCUGACUGAGUGGCGGACGGGUGAGUAACGCGUGGGCAACCUACCCCACACAGGGGGACAACAGUUGGAAACGACUGCUAAUACCGCAUAGGCGCACAGCUUCGCAUGAAGCAGUGUGGAAAACCGAGGUGGUGUGGGAUGGGCCCGCGUCUGAUUAGCUGGUUGGCGGGGUAACGGCCCACCAAGGCGACGAUCAGUAGCCGGCCUGAGAGGGUGGACGGCCACAUUGGGACUGAGACACGGCCCAAACUCCUACGGGAGGCAGCAGUGGGGAAUAUUGCACAAUGGGGGAAACCCUGAUGCAGCGACGCCGCGUGAGCGAAGAAGUAUUUCGGUAUGCAAAGCUCUAUCAGCAGGGAAGAAAAUGACGGUACCUGACUAAGAAGCCCCGGCUAAAUACGUGCCAGCAGCCGCGGUAAUACGUAUGGGGCAAGCGUUAUCCGGAUUUACUGGGUGUAAAGGGAGCGCAGGCGGCUUGGCAAGUCUGAUGUGAAAGGCUGGGGCUCAACCCCAGGACUGCAUUGGAAACUGUUAGGCUGGAGUGUCGGAGAGGUAAGCGGAAUUCCUAGUGUAGCGGUGAAAUGCGUAGAUAUUAGGAGGAACACCAGUGGCGAAGGCGGCUUACUGGACGACAACUGACGCUGAGGCUCGAAAGCGUGGGGAGCAAACAGGAUUAGAUACCCUGGUAGUCCACGCCGUANACGAUGAAUACUAGGUGUCGGUGGGCAANGCCCAUCGGUGCCGCAGCAAACGCAGUAAGUAUUCCACCUGGGGAGUACGUUCGCAAGAAUGAAACUCAA
rnacentral:rRNA from 1 species